GCGAGAGUGGCGGAAUUGGUAGACGCACUGGACUUAGGAUCCAGCUCUGGAGACAGAGUGGGAGUUCAACUCUCCCCUCUCGCACCA
rnacentral:tRNA from 1 species